UGGGGAAUAUUGCACAAUGGGCGCAAGCCUGAUGCAGCCAUGCCGCGUGUGUGAAGAAGGCCUUCGGGUUGUAAAGCACUUUCAGCGAGGAGGAAGGGUAGUGUGUUAAUAGCACAUUGCAUUGACGUUACUCGCAGAAGAAGCACCGGCUAACUCCGUGCCAGCAGCCGCGGUAAUACGGAGGGUGCAAGCGUUAAUCGGAAUUACUGGGCGUAAAGCGCACGCGGGCGGUUUGUUAAGUCAGAUGUGAAAUCCCCGCGCUUAACGUGGGAACUGCAUUUGAAACUGGCAAGCUAGAGUCUUGUAGAGGGGGGUAGAAUUCCAGGUGUAGCGGUGAAAUGCGUAGAGAUCUGGAGGAAUACCGGUGGCGAAGGCGGCCCCCUGGACAAAGACUGACGCUCAGGUGCGAAAGCGUGGGGAGCAAACA
rnacentral:rRNA from 1 species